AUGCCGGCCAUCUCUCCCCUAUUUCUAUCUUCUCCCAUCCCACACGACAAGAGCACGGCGGAGGGCGACCGCCAUCUCUCUCUCCCUCGCCCCCCUCCGCCUCACCCGUCUCUGUCUCCUCUCCCGCACCCCCGGCACGGCCUCAUGCUUCCAGGCGCUCGCCUGGAAGGAGGCAGCCGCCUCAACAGUCUCCGGUGCCGGUGUGGGCACGGGGAGCGGGCUGCUCUCGAUGCUUGA
rnacentral:rRNA from 1 species